GCCAAAUGGCCUAGGCCUGAGGCUUAAGAGAGGCUAGUCAGUCUUUUAUCACUCACCACAAGAUCGUCCUAAAGCAAAACUCCAGUACUUCACUGAAAUCCUCAACUCCUGAACUCAGUUCAGAGACCCAGCUCCUCCAAACUAACUCCAAACUCCAACUAAGGUCAGAGACCCUCCUCUGAACUCCUGAUAUCCUUUUAAAGAGAAUUUUAUGCCACCUCCCCUAAAUUUUCACAUCUACCAAUCACAGUAGACACUAUUCCCCAGGACUAUCCAUUCUUAGUUCACAUCUUAUUUUGUUAUCACCUUCUCUGAUUAGAUUAUAUCUUCUGAGUAUUUCACAUCUCUUUGCUAAGCUUGCCCUUUGUAAGUUGCUUGACCUUUUAGUGAUUAAUUUAACCUUUAUAGGUACUUAUCACCUUUUUAUAUUAGAUCUAAAAUAGACCAUCGAGAUUAGGGUUUUUGCUUCACUAUAAGUAUGAGUUGGGGACUUUUCAUUGUUCAAUCAGGAAUUUUACAACUUUAUCUUCUCCUAAGGCACUGUCUGAGCAGGGUGGAGUAAUUUUAAAGUUCCCAAUACAUUCCUGACUAAGUACCUCCAUUGUAGAAAAUGGGGAAUAGCUUAAUCAAAUCUUCUGAAGUAGAGUCUGAGAAAUUUUAAGAUUCAUAUUGGACAGACUUCAGGAGAUAGUAGAGGAUAGAGGGCUGGUGUGUUAUAGUCUAUGGGGUCAUAAAGAGUUAGAAAUGACCAAAUAACUGAUAUAUACGUGUAUGUAUGUAUGUAUGUAUGUAUGUAUAAGGGGGCAGCUGGGUGGCUCAGUGGAUUGAGAGCCAGGCCUAGAGACAGGAGGUCCUAAGUUCAAAUCUGGCCUCAGCCACUUCCCAGCUGUGUGACCCUGGGCAAGUCACUUGACCUCCAUUGCCUAGCCCUUACCACUCUUCUGCCUUGGAGCCAAUACAAAGUAUUGACUCCAAGAUGGAAGGUAAGGGUUAAAAAAAACCAUAUAUAUAUAUAUGUAUAUAUAUAUAUAUAUAGUAUUAUGUAUUACAUAUGAUACUUAUAUCAUAUGUGUAAGUAUAUAUGAAUAUGCACAUAGCCCAUAAAAUAUCAAAGUAGCCUUAUAAUAGACACAAUGAUGUCCAAGAAGCAACUUAUUCUCUUGACCCCAAAGGGCAAAGCAGGGAGUAAUGGGUAGAUGAUGCAGAAGAGGAAGAUUUAAACUUGAUAUAAGAAAACUUACUGAUAAUAACUGGCUAAAUGUAUAAGGGACUUCCCAGGCAUAUAACUAAUUUCUUUGCUUUGUUUCUCCCUACUCCAAUUUAUCUUCACCACAGCUAUGAAUUAUUUAAAAAAGCAUAUAGCUAACCCUGUCACUCCUCUACUUAAUAUGUUCUAGUAACUCUCUGUUAACAGGAUGAGAUAUAAACAGCUCUGUUUGGCUUGUAAAGCCCUUCCUAACCUGGCAGUAAUUUACUUUUCCAACCUUAUUAUAUAGUAUAAUAUUCUUAUUCCCUUCCUCUACAGUUGAGACAGAUUAGUUUUCUUAACUGUCUUCCAUGACACUCCCUUCUCUGUAACUUUGCUUUGUUUGACUUCCAGUCUUGGAAUGCACUUUCCCAUCCAAACCAUAUGUAAAUGUCAUAUUCAGAUAUAGAUGCUUCUGUUUAGGAAGGAUAUUAACACACUAGAGUGAGUUUAGAAGAGGAAAGAUGGAGAUGGCAGGGAAUUGGAAAUUAACCAUGAUAUAGGAAAAUUAAUUGAAGGAACUGGUGAUGGUUAGCCCAUAGGAAAAAAUGACUAAAUGCUACCUAUUAGCAAUCUUCAGCAUGCUAUUGUUGAAAGAACAUCAUAUUUGGUGUCAGAGGAUCAGAAUCCCAGUAGUGCUUUUGUUCUUUAGCAUCUCUAUGACCUUAAUCAUCUUUGAAUACAUGAACAUCCAAAGGAAAAUAAUCAACAUAGUAAAGAGUCUUGAGUUCAUGAGGAUUAGUUGGAGGAACUGGGAAUAUUUAGCCUAGAUAAAAGAAGACUCAGGGGGUGCCUAAUACCUAUGUUCAAGUAUCUAAGGGGCUAUCACGUGGAAGAGGGGGCAGAACAGCAAACAAUGUAUAGAAGUUUCAAAGAGUCCACUUUUGGCGAUAUUUCAGGAAAAUCUUCCUAACAAUAAUAGGGGCCUAAAAGGGAAAUGGGCUGCCUUGAGAACUCUAGGGUUCUACUUUCUUGAAGGGUCUCAUGUGGAGGUUAGGUUAACUACUUAUUUAGUAUGUUAUAAUGUUGAUUCCUUCAUGUAUGGGUUAAACUAGCUAGCCACUGAGAUUCUAUCCUGAGAGGAACGACCACCUAGCCAAAAGAAUCUUGAACUUUAAUUAUUACUUAAUUAAAUUAAUUUAAGUUAAUGUGGCAAAAGUUUUCUUAUUUCAUUCUUUAUUUUAUGUCAAUCUUGAGAAAAUGGGUAUUCAUGAGUUAAUUUUACAGGUAUUACAGCCAGCAAGCAAGACCAAGGAGUUGGAGCACACAGGCUAUGUUUUAUUAAUUCAAAUGAACCCCUCCCUUUAUUCACCACUGACUGGUUUCUAGAGAAUUAUAAUCUAGUCACAAGAGUCCGCUGAUCAGAACCCAAUUUACAACCUUAAUCACUCAUAUUAAAGUAAAGCAACUUCACCUGUUAGCCUUUUAAGGAAACUAACCUUUCAUGUCUUCCUCAUCCUCUCUAGCUCAUGUGAUGUGGGGAAAAGGUACUUAAGCUAGGAACAUGAAACUCAAUUUUCUUUUCUUUUUUACUCCAUUAUUCAGGCUUAUGAGAGGAAUUCACCAUCUUGUCAGGACCUGUUGCUCACAUUUCCAGUUCUUUAAAUGUGUAAUCUUAUAAUAGUUUUCACAUUUGUCAAGGGAAAGGAAACGACUAAGUGCUCUCUCAUUGCUAUCACUUCCAAACUCUAUAAUAAUAACUAUAACAUUUAAAGGGAAGUCACAGAAUGUGACUGUUCUACUUGGUCCCAAAGGACACAAUCAUGAGCAAUGUGGAAGAUGCAGAGAGGCAGAUUUAAGUUUGAUGUGAAGAAAAACUCCUGAAAAUUGGAGCAUUCAUUCUGGAGGUGAAUGGAAUAGGCUGCUUUUUGGAGGUGGGCUAUUUUUUAUUUAACCAACAGACAACAGGCUAAGAAGCAGUGGAGUGUGGACUUGGAGUUUUGAUGUAAGAGAUGAGACGCUAAUUAUGAGGAGGUUCUGACAUGAAGCAUUAAAGGUACAUGAAGAUAACUAAAGAUAGAUGAGAAGCCAGAUAGAUGAACAAUGUGAAAACAACUUACAUCUGAAAAGAGAAGCCAAUAGCAGAGAAUUCUCCCUGUAGUUUCAACUCAAUAUAAGGAGAUUGAAACAGCUGCUUUGGGCUGAGUGAGCUCCAAAAGGAAGAAUAAUCCACCGGGCUACUGACUAAACUACAGAGUUAUAGUCGCUGUGGCUGCUUUUCUCAUUAGAGGAGAACUCUAUAGCUUCUGGAAGUUGAAUGAAGAAAGCAGACUCAUCCUAAUUUAGAAUGGGGAUUGUAAGGGAAAACUCUUUAGGAGCUUAUUGGUUUGAGAAGGAGAAACUUCUUAGAACCUAGAGAUUGGCUGAAGGGAAUUGCUUGUUAUUGAAAUGAUUUUAUACUUUCAACAACUGGAGAGAAACAGAAUUGGCUUUGUGUAACCAACCAGAGAAGCUCAGAAAAAAAGAAUAAAUGAUCGAUGGUAUAGGCUUUUCCCUAAAAUAUAACACCAACAUCCAGUCUUCAGGUCAGAAUCAUGAAUUGCCCCCAGCACAAGUUUCUCGUAUUCAUACAUCUCCCUGCUCCGUCUCAUUGUCCGUUACAGAUAUUGGGUGCAUUGGUGUUAUAGUAGACCUUAUGUUUAUGGAUGAAUUAUUAUAUUUUUAUUAUUUCUGCUUUUUCUUUUUCUUGAGGAAAUCUCAUUUUAUUGCUUUUGCUGCCUAAUUUUGUAAAUGCUUUCAUUGAAAUUUUAAUGAUCUCAUUCUGGUUGAUUCUAUGAAUGGAAAGCACAUUGGUGGGGGCUCAGAAUCUAUAGUUAUGAAUAUUAGGAAUACUAUCUUUCCCAUAUCAGGGUUAUCCCUAAAAAUGUGCCAAACAUAUUCUCACAUUUUUAGGGAUAACCCUGAUAUGGGAAAGAUAGCAUUCCUAAUAUUCAUAACUAUAGAUUCUUUCUACCAGUACAUAUCCCAACCAUCUAUAACUUCUCGAGGAAGUUCUAAGUAGUUCCUAAGGCACUGGGAAAAGAAAUGACUUUCCUUGGGGUUAUUCGGAGUUAGUAAAUAUUGCAGGAAGAAACUGAAUCCAUAUCUUUCUGAUGCCAAGCCUAAAAGUCUUAUCCAUUGUUACUUACUAUCUUUCAUUGUAUAAAUAAAAGGAUUUUUAUAGCACUCUGUCAUCUGAGUAUACUUUUCCUCCAAAUGGAUAUAUUGUCAUGGUA